rnacentral:rRNA from 1 species
AUACGUAGGUGGCAAGCGUUGUCCGGAAUUAUUGGGCGUAAAGCGCGCGCAGGUGGUCCUUUAAGUCUGAUGUGAAAGCCCACGGCUCAACCGUGGAGGGUCAUUGGAAACUGGGGGACUUGAGUGCAGAAGAGGAAAGUGGAAUUCCAAGUGUAGCGGUGAAAUGCGUAGAGAUUUGGAGGAACACCAGUGGCGAAGGCGACUUUCUGGUCGGUAGCGGACGCUGAGGCGCGAAAGCGUGGGGAGCAAACAGGACUAGAUACCCUGGUAGUCCACGCUGUAAACGAUGAGUGCUAAGUGUUAGGGGGUUUCCGCCCCUUAGUGCUGCAGCUAACGCAUUAAGCACUCCGCCUGGGGAGUACGGUCGCAAGACUGAAACUCAAAUGAAUUGACGGGG